rnacentral:lncRNA from 1 species
CGAAUCUUGGGAAAAACAGAUUUUACGCAGAUUUACUCGUCUGUCGUCUACCGCAUAUAACCGAAAAUAAUGUUUGUCUUACAUAGAUCAUUAACAAUUGCCUUCUGUAAAUUUGUUAAUAUUAUAAUUUAUUCUGUUCAUAUUAUCUGUUUCCACGUUAUUAUGUUUUUGCAACGUCAUAUUUCCGGAUACCUGCAUUUAUUAUUGUAGUUUGCUUCAGGUUUUUAUAUGAUAAACAACAGAGAUUGGUUCGGUGAGAAAAUAUUUACGUCUACAUCGAAUUUAACGACAUCGAGAAUAUCAUCUGUAUCACUUUCCAAAAGAAGACAAUGCCCUUCAUAAAGAAUGAAUUUGAAAAGUUGCAGGUAAUCAUUUCCUAAAAUAUUAUGCCAGCGCCAUUUUAAGAAGCAUGGAUGUCCGUGUCCAUAUAAACCAUAUAAACCAUAUAAAAAUACGAAUAGAUGAAGAAGCGUACUGUAUCCCAACAACCAACAACUUUAUUACAAAAUAAAAGAGAAAGAGAAGAUGUACAAGAAAGUCAGCACGUUAUCGAAAAACAGCUGAUCAGAAAAGGUGGGCAAGUGCAAGAAGAACAACAUGAAUGCAGCUACUAGCAUUACCAACAAUAGCAAGAAGCGGAUGAAGGAGGGAUAAAAUAAGAAGAAGAAGAAGAAGAAGAAAAUGAAUUGUUUGUUAAUAUUCCAAUACUAGACUAUACAAGAGUAACAUCAUGAUUCGCUGACAACGAGGAUUCAAUUGUACGGUCAGCAAUUGAAUCGCAGCCAAGCUGCGUCUUUCGAAUAGAGGAAACCCUAGGCAGGACCUUCCGAGAAAUACAGUUUCAAAAUGAACAUGCUCAGCUGUUGAAAGAAAAUAAAACGUUGCAGGCACAAAUAAAAUAUGUCAAAUAUAUCCUCGAAAGAACCCAAUUGCUCAGAGAUCAAUUACGUGUAAAGUUGAAGAGAUU